CCUCUUAGACAAAAUCCAUCCAUAAGCGUAUUGUAGGUGACUACAUCAGGAGGCACACCUUUCUGGAUCAUAAUUGCAAUCACAUCUUCUGCAUCUGUUGUCCUCCCUUCUUUGCAGUGUGCAUCGACCAGUAUAUUAUAGGUGUGCAGAUCAGGAGAGAUCUUCCUAACACCCAUCUCACUUAACAACGGCCCAAUGUCCUCCCACCGGCUGGAGCUGCACAGACCUUGAAGUAAUCUGUUAUAUGUUAUAACAUUUGGUGGAAUGCCUUUCUGGGUCAUUACAGACACAAGAUCAAAUGCAUGAUCGACUCGUCUUUCUUUGCACAGAGAAUCGAUAAUCGAGUUAUAAGUUAUAAUAUCGGGUCUGCAACCUAACUUCUCCAUCUUUCUUAAAAACUUGAGAGCCAUGGAGGUAUUUGAAGUUUUGCAGAGACCAUCAAUGAUGGUGUUAUACGUAACUACACUGGGCUGAAUUUCUUGAUAUGUGAUAAGCUUGUUAAACAAAUCCCCAGCCUCCAAAGGCCUGUCUUGAGAUAGAAGGCCCUUGAUGAGAGUGUUGUAGGUAAAGGCAUCGGGCACCCAACCACUCUUGAUGAUUCCAGCAAGCAAUGAAAAGGCAUAAUCAAGGGUAUCCAAGUGACAACAGGAAUGAAUGGCAGUAUUAAAAGUAACAAUAUCAGCAGGAAUGCUUAAAACACGCAAUUCUCUAAACAUGGAGAUAGCUACAGAGUAUUCUUUCAUGCGAACAAGAGCGGUUAAGAGUUGGUUGAAAUCCACAACAGAAAGCCCAGAUUUCAGACGGAGCAUUUGAUCGAACGCAAGAAGAGCAUCGUCGAGUUUAUCGAAACCAACCCUAGAUUUGUGAUAGAGUAAUUGUUUAAGUUCGGGAUGAGUGGUAGAUGGAGAAGGAAUAAAGGGGGCUUUUGGUUGUGAAUCAGGGUUAGGCUUAGUAGAGAAAAGAAGAAAAGCAUCGUCGAGUUUAUCAAAACCAAGCUUAAAUUUAUGAUAGAGUAAUUGUUUUAGUUCGGGAUGAGUGGUGGAUGGAGAAGGAAUAAAGGGGGGUUUGGGUUGUGAAUUAGGGUUAGGCUUAGUAGAGAAAAGAAGAAAAUGAGAAUGAAAAAGAGAAAUUGGGGUGCUUACAAUUGGAGGCAUCAAAGUGAAUGAAGUGAGAGCAUGAAAAUGAGCAGUGGCUAGUGUCUGAGCUCCUCUCUUCACUGACAACAUCGUUCAAGCCUCUUUGAGCUGCGAUUUGCAGAAAUGGGAUGCCUAGAAAGUAAAAACUGAGUAGCUGGGAAAUUUUUUCUUGUGAAACUGAGUAGUUUGGAAUUCUGUGUGAAAUUGACUGAGACGCGUUUACGUGAGUUUAAAAUAAGUGUUUAUUGCUUAAAGAAAAAUAAGUAAAGUAAAAUUUAGAAGUUUGUUAAGACUUAUAAUUGAUUAAAUUGUUUGGGAAAAAAGUAUAAGUCAUGAAAGGGUUAAUUAUCAAAUGGAUCACUUAUUUCAGCCCAAUGUAUCAUCCGCAUCACUUCGAAAUUUUUUGAUCUAAUAUAAACCACUUAAUAGACUAACGGUUGCAUUCCGUUAAAUCAAAUUAAAAAACCUAACGAUAGCAACUGAGGUGAAAAAAUAACAGCUACUUUUGCUGACUGUGUGUUACACAUAACUUCAUUUUCCAGUAAAUAUAAGUGUGUGUAUCCGGAGUUUUGGACUUGUACUGGAAUUAAAAGCUUAAUACUACUUUCUAGUGUUAUUAAUAUAAAAUCUUUUGUCAUAUUUUUUUAUUUGAUUUAUUUACUUUCUAGUUUUAUUAAUAGAAAUUCUCUUUUUUGUAUUAGAUUUAUUUACUUUCUAAUUUUACUGGAAUUGAAAAAAAUCAAAAGCUGCAAAAUUUAAAUAAAAUUUAAAGACAAGCAUAAAUACUUAAGUUUCAAAAGAACAAGCACACGAGUAAUGUUAAACAUCAUGGUUAACUUGAACUUAACGAAAAAAAUUAAAUUUAACGUCUAUUUUGAUUUGAUUUAAUGGCAUGCCACCGUCAGUCUAAUGAGUGGUUUAUGUGAGACCAAAAAUUUUACAGUCAUGCGGAUGAUACAUCAGACUGGAAUAAGUGAUCCAGUUGAUAAUUAACCCAAUCAUGAAAUAAGCUAGGAAUUCUAACUUUUUAUAAGUGCUUCUCGACUUUUUACACAAACGGUAUGAAUAAGUGUUUUUAACUUGAAACUCCAGAAGCGGGGCUGUUAAGCCCCGCCCAAACACCCACUUAAACUCCGGAAUGAAAUAGACUUGCAAAAAUUAAUUUGACAUAAUACUUUUAAAAAUAUAAAUAAUAGCGACAAUUUAUAAAUUAUAAAAACAACAAAUAUAAAUAUAUAAAUGAAAAUUUUGGAUUUAAACUUCGUCAAAAUUUUCAAUUUACAGAAAAAGUACCGAAUUCGUAAAAGAUGUGAAUACUAAUUUUUGUGUCAAAUAUUUUUCUCACUGAGCUGCGAUUUGCAGAAAUGUGAUUUCUCUCUGUCUUUGUGAAACUGAAUACUAAUUCUUUAAAUACCAUCCUUAAGCCUUAUUACUAAAACCAACUCAAGAAGCUCUUCACCGAUCUUAUUUGAUCUUUAAGUAUUCACCAAACCCUAACGUAAACAAGCAUGGGCUUUGCAAGCUUCACUGAUGAGUACACUUCCCCUAUUGCUCCAUCAAGGCUCUUCAAGGCCUCCAUCGUCGACUCUCACAAUUUGAUUCCAAAGCUCUUGCCCCAGGGUAUCAAGAGCAUUGAACAUAUUCAAGGUGAUGGAGGAGCCGGAAGCAUCAAGCAAAUCAACUUCAUUGAUGGUUCGCUCUUUUUUCUCGUGUUUGUUUUUACCACUUGCUUCUAAAAUACUCAUGAUCAUACAUAAACACACAUAUUGACUCCAGUUAUAAAAUUCUACUGGUUAUACUGAUUGGAUAACAUCAAUAUUACUCAUGUAGGUCGCACUUUUAAUAGUGUGAAGUACCACAUUGACGAGCUUAGUGAAGACAAGUACAAGUACAACUAUACACUGUUGGAAGGCGAUGCCUUGGUGGAAAAUCUUGAAAAAAUAACUUACGAGGUUAAGUUUGAGUCGUCUCCUAGUGGCGGUACCAUCUCUAAGGUAACAAGCAAGUAUUAUACUAAAGGAGAAUUCAUGCUUAAGGAAGACGAUAUCAAGGCGGGCAAGGAAAAGGUUCUAUCCAUGUACAAAGUUGUCGAAGCCUAUCUCAUCCAAAACCCUGAUGCCUAUGUCUAGAGGACACCUUAUUCGGUUGGCGAGGUGCUUCCCAACAACGUAUACUCUAAUGGUCCAAUUCAGUGGGAAUUCCGUUAGGAAUCUCUUUUACCAACGGAUUUUCUUCAAUUGUCAACAAAAUAUUUCGUUAAGAACAAUGAAAUUUCUUGUAGUGUGUAUUCUCAAUAAUUGUUAAAGUUCUCUCCAACAGGUCUGUCUUGUUGUUUUCAGUUUGAUUUGUACUUGUUUGUUCGGGAAUAAGGAGAGUUUGGUUUCUUAAAAAACAAUGACAACAAACAUAAUUCAGAAAUUUUGGCAAGUAUUGUUGAAAAUAAAUUGUUCGCUUAGCAGAAAAAUACAAAUCUUAAAGAUUAAAUGCUUAAAACACAGAUAGGCGCGACAUGUCCCCUCAUUCACAUCAGAAAACAGGUGUUAUGUCUUUGAGCGAUAAAAUAUCACGGAAAGAUUGCUGCAAAAAAGAACAAUCUGCUCACAUGCAGUCUGAAUAGGCGCAAUAUGUUACCGAAGAUCAUGAUUUUGUAGUGCAUCGAGAGGAGUUUAGGAUCAUUUGUUAAACCUGAAUAAUAUUUUUUGAACAAUUAAAAUAUUUAGAUGAAUAAAUAUAAACACUAAAGAAGUGGUGAUUUUUUUUUUUUAUCAAACUGUGAUUUGUUUUUUAUCUGGGACGACUGAAGUAUAAUUUUACCACUAAGCUAUUUUUGUUAAAAAUUUCAAUAUUUGUUGAAUGAUGAAAUUUAUUAUUUUAAAAACUAUGUUAUUACUGCAUGUAGAUAGAUUAAUUUAAUUAUUUGAUGAAAAUUUGUUAUUAUUUCUACACAUGAAUCUGAAUAAUUCAUUUAAGUAAUAUAGAAAAUACAUGUUAACAAUCCAAAAUAUUUUAUGACAGAACUUUAUAAAAAUUUAUAAUUUAAACUAAGACCCAUCCUAUGCUAAUUUUUAUACAGUAUCUUAAAAAUUAAAACAAGAGAUCAAAUAAACUCAAAAAGGUAAAAAAGGUUAAGAACAUUAUAGUUCCAAUUAUAUUAAAAAUUAUGUAUGAUACAAGUGAACCACUGAGGUUCACUUGUGUGAGAUGAGUUUUCCAAUAGUUUUGGUGGUGUCCAGCUAUAACAAUUCCCAUAACAAACAAUCUUAAUGACAUAUAUAUGUUUUUUCCAGAUCUUUAAGUUUCAUCCAUGGAUUAACAGAUGAGCCUCUAGUGCAACAUCUUGCUUUACUUUUAGAGAUGACAAACACUCAAUAGACCGGAAAAGUGAAAGCGCGAAAAAAGGAACGGAAGUCGCUGGAGCCUUCAUAUCAAAUGUUCCUCCAGAAGGCAUCCAAGUUCUAUCACCUAGGAAAAGCAUAAAAAUCAUCUUAUGUAAACAACUUUGUAUAUGUUCAGCAAGGGUCAGGACACCUUACUAGAUAAGGUUUUACAUAAAAGAACAAUUUAAACUUUCCUACAAGGCCUGACAAACCUACUUUCAACAGAACUCGCGACAACAUGAAUACAAUUAGCUCACUAAUGCUUAGUCUGUCACACCUCGCCAGGUAUUACUCUCACAACUGGUCGACCUAACUAAUCAUACAUCAACGAGUAUGUAGCUUAUAUUUGUUUUCCUCCUCUUGAUGACACAGAACACAUAAUUUCAAUACAAAUUGCUCUAGAAAUUAAAUAAUUGCUCUGGAUUAGUUAAAUUUAGCAGAAAAGAUUAGCAAAAUACAUAUAUAAAAGAGCAAAUAAUUGGCUACAGUGAUUCCUAAACCUCCCUCUCUGUUCCCCAAUGGAGAAGAUGACUCCUAGGCUCUGAAUAUAGAAUAAUUUCUUCAAUUUCACAAAUGUUAAAAACAUAUAUACGAAAUAGUAGUUAACAUCUUUGGAGUCAUGGGGGCAACCUGGAUAGUAAAACCUGUUCCUCUUGGUAUCCACAUCCAUAUCAAACCUGUUCCGUCUCCAGAUUGACCUCCUCCUCAUAUCGCUGCAGUCUUUCUCCUAGUAGUACCAGAAAUUUAACACCAACCGCCACCUCAGACACAACAUGCAAACCUGACUUUUAGCAGCAUUUCCUGAGAGGAACAUAAAAACAAUCUCCAACUAGUAGGAUGCAUUCACACCAUUAUCAAAGCUGAUAAGGCACAACAACUUUAGACAACACAAGAUAUUAACAAAACCACCUCAACAAGCUCAUAGAUAUUACAUAGGCUUCUUUUAUUAUUUUCAGAUGCUGAUUUCUCAUUUUUGUAUAUGAGAUAAUGAGAGGCAUCGAGAUACUAAGUUUCAGUUCUGAAUGACAACUUCGACAUAUACUGUACUCAAUACAAAUUGAAGACAUAGUCUUACUGUCUCAAAUCUAUUGUCUAUUAGCUCUUAACAAUUAUUUGAUCCGCAAAACAUAUUACUAUAGCAGAAAACUAAAGGAAGUUAAAUAUGACAAUACAUAACAAUGAACCAUAAAAUUCAGUACCUAUUGCAAAAACCAUUUGCAGAAAGCAAGAACGGAGGGGUCUUGUUCUUCUUCAGAUAAUAGGUCUAGUACCAUGGAUGUGGUAGAUGCAUCUUCUGAGAAUUUACGAGCUCGCAUGUUCUCUAUCAAUACAACUGCUUCUUCAUAUCUUUUAUUCAAAAGACUUGCACGGAUGAUCGUGUUGUAAGUCACAUCGUUAGGCAAACAACCACUAGUUUCCAUCUCAGAAAGUAAUAUCUUUGCUUCCUCAAAUAACCCUUCUUGACAAAAUCCUUGAAUCAUCGUAGUGUAUGUCUUCACAUUGGGUUGCAAACCUCUUGAAGCAAGCUUAUCAAAAAUAUUUCUGGCCUCGUCAAGUUUUCUGUUCUUGCAGAGACCAUCGAUGAGGAUAGUAUAGCUAUAACAAUUUGGCGCUAUUCCAUUACUCAUCAUGGUAUUCAGCACCUCUAAUGCCCUGUCAGUGUUGCCUCUUAAACAAAAUCCAUCCAUAAGCGCACUGUAGGUGAUUACAUCAGGAGGCACACCUUUCUGGAUCAUAAUUGCAAUCACAUCUUCUGCAUCUAUUGUCCUCCCUUCUUUGCAGUGUGCAUCGACCAGUAUAUUAUAGGUGUGCAGAUCAGGAGAGAUCUUCCUAACACCCAUCUCACUUAACAACGGCCCAAUGUCCUCCCAUCGGCUGGAGCUGCAAAGACCUUGAAGUAAUCUAUUAUAGGUUAUAACAUCUGGUAAUAUGCCUUUGUGGG
rnacentral:lncRNA from 1 species